ACUGCAAAACCAGUCAUUAAUCUCACACAACAUGUAAGUUAUUACUUGAAUCUUUUUACUUUUUGUACAUUUUUCUCAAGUCUUGUUUUCAUGAAAUAUUUUGGCUGAACUGGAGGCAUGCAGCUUUAAGAUAUAUUAAGCUUGAAAUGUUUAGGAUGAAAAGGUCAAAUUUUUAUAUUUUUCACCUGAAUUAUGUAUUUUUUCCCCCACAAACAUCAUUUAUAUUUAAAAAUUAUAUAUGUCCUUGAUUUGUUGAUAAUUAAAUGACUUAAUUAAAGCCAGGAUAUGUUAUAUAAUUUACUGUCUACUAUCUUAUUUUUCAUCUCUUUGGUUUUGCUUCUCUUUUGAAAAUAUAUUGAGAUGAAGUGAUUAAGAGGGGGGGGGGAUUUGGUAAAUUGGUAGACAUAGGUUUAAUUGAUGUGCGCAUUUUUGAAGUGCUAUAUGAAGUGCUACAUGAUAUAUAUAUUUUAUGUACAUUUGAUGUGCUACAUGAUAUGUAGAUUGUAUGUACAUUUUGAAGUGCUAACUUACAUAAAGAUUCCAUGUGUGUUUUGAAGUGCUACAUAACAAUUUUAUGUACAUUUGAAGUGCUAACUUACAUAAAGAUUCCAUGUGUGUUUUGAAGUGCUACAUAACAAUUUUAUGUACAUUUGAAGCAUUACCAUGGGAUAUAGAUUUUAGAGUGCAAUAUUAUUAGUUCUUUGUAUCUACAGUUUCAAAAGAAAUGUGGAGGGGAAAACUAUUUGUCGAGCCUGAAAUCUUCUUAUAUCUUUCGAGUAAAAACUGUUUUUGCUUUAUAUGUGUUUUUUUUCUUUCUUUCUUUAUAUUUAACUUACCAGUGACCAUUUUAUGAUUAUGCUGAAAUUCUUAGACUGCCUAAUGUCCAUUAUUCAUGUAUCAACAGUUUUAAAAAUGCACUAAAAUAGUUUCAUUAUUGUUAUUCUAAUUUGAGACAGUCUUGUUCACAAUUUAUAUCAUCAGAAGAUCUUGCUUCCUGUCUUGGAGUAACCUAUGUGUACCACCACUUGAUAGAGCUGUUUGCCCCUAUACAUUUUUUUUACACAGAAAUAUAACAAAUUUGCCAUCCAUUGGCUUAAGUUUAAAAUAAAUUUACACAACCACAAAUUAUGAAAUUUUAGCAGAGAUACUGAGGUGAAUGAUUGAGGGCCAUCAUGACCCACAAGUUGUUUUAUUUUUGUAAAUUGUAUAGAUUAAGUUGAUAUAUUUGUUUAAAAGCUGCAUGUCAUGCACGAGCCAAGAAAAUUUAAGUAAAUCAGCCCUCAGAUUCAAAAAGCAAAAAUAUUAAUUAUACAAUAAAUGUAAUGAAUGACUGAUAUUUGCAGUAUUUAUCACCAUAUUUCUACUGCAUGACUAACACAGUAAGGGUUUUUUUGCAUGAAUUUAAUAUUUAUAAUGGUAAUUUACAUGGAUUGAAAGUGUUGUUUGCAAGGUGUAAAUUAUUUUCUUUGUUCACAUAAUAUGUUACUUUCUUUAAUGCUUUUUCAAAAUUUUCAUGGUGGGCAUUUGUCUGUUUCCAAGAAUCCAAUGACAGGUCUUGUUUAUAGAUACAAUUUAAAGAAAUAAUAUGUAGAAAGUAAUAAAUAAGAAUACCAUAAGAGUUAAUCAUUCAUGAAUUUUCCUUGAUAAGUAAAAAAUAAAAUUCCAUAUUUCUGCAACAAAACUUCAUAUUCCUCUAACAAAAUUUGAAAUCCGAGUUAUCUCAUUCUUGUUGUUUUAUAUUUAUACAAAGUCCACAUGUUUACCUUUUGACAUGUCUCUCUAAGAAAUACAUAGAUAUAAAUAGAAACAACUUUACAUUAUACUUUUUAUCUUCAAAUUUUAGGUAUAUUUUUUACCCUAAUAAAUGAAAUAUGCCAAGUCUAA